rnacentral:rRNA from 1 species
GUGCCAAGCAGCCGCGGUAAAACCAGCACCUCAAGUGGUCAGGAUGAUUAUUGGGCCUAAAGCAUCCGUAGCCGGCUCUGUAAGUUUUCGGUUAAAUCUGUACGCUCAACGUACAGGCUGCCGGGAAUACUGCAGAGCUAGGGAGUGGGAGAGGUAGACGGUACUCGGUAGGAAGGGGUAAAAUCCUUUGAUCUAUUGAUGACCACCUGUGGCGAAGGCGGUCUACCAGAACACGUCCGACGGUGAGGGAUGAAAGCUGGGGGAGCAAACCGGAUUAGAUACCCGGGUAGUCCCAGCUGUAAACUAUGCAAACUCAGUGAUGCAUUGACUUGUGGUCAAUGCAGUGCUGCAGGGAAGCCGUUAAGUUUGCCGCCUGGGAAGUACGUACGCAAGUAUGAAACUUAAAGGAAUUGGCGGGGGAGCACCACAAGGGGUGAAGCCUGCGGUUCAAUUGGAGUCAACGCCAGAAAUCUUACCCGGAGAGACAGCAGAAUGAAGGUCAAGCUGAAGACUUUACCAGACAAGCUGAGAGGUGGUGCAUGGCCGUCGCCAGCUCGUGCCGUGAGAUGUCCUGUUAAGUCAGGUAACGAGCGAGAUCCCUGCCUCUAGUUGCCACCAUUACUCUCAGGAGUAGUGGGGCGAAUUAGCGGGACCGCCGCAGUUAAUGCGGAGGAAGGAAGGGGCCACGGCAGGUCUGUGAUGCCC